GUGGCUUAAUUUGACUCAACGCGGGAAAUCUUACUAGAUCAGGACACUUUGAGGAUUGACAGACAGUUAUACCGAACUACGAAUAAUGAAUGGUCCAGGGUAGGCAAAAACUAAUAGCUCUUUUAUGAUUAUGUGAUAGGUGGUGCAUGGCCGUUCUUAGUUCGUGGAGUGAUCUGUCUGCUUAAUUGCGUUUCAAAACAACUGAUACACAGAGUCUUGGCACAGUUCAGUUUAAUGGCGUCGAGUAUCUUUGAUUUCGACAGUAGUCCAACUCGGUUCGCCAGGGUCUCUUUUGAACGCAACGGACGUGAUCGCAACCCUUUGUUGAGUGAUGUCAGCACUC
rnacentral:rRNA from 1 species